GGGGGGGUAGCUCAGUUGGUUAGAGCGCUACGUUGACAUCGUAGAGGCCAACGGUUCGAGUCCGUUCCUCCCCACCA
rnacentral:tRNA from 1 species